GUUUCUUUUUAUUUAUGGACAUUUAAAAACCUUCUAGGGAAUGCCAGUGCAGAUGCAAUCAUAGUAUCGCUAUAUUGCACGUGUGCCAUGCGAAAGAGAAAAGGAGGCAGCCUGUGGUUGAGUAUUAUAACCGCCGGUGUCGUUUGUUUUUACUCCUGAUCUGGAGAAAAUGUUAUAAUGUUAUGCUCGAGGACAGGGUUUGAAGUUGGUCGUAGCAGCGCUAAAAGCAGCUGAUUACACUUUCUUGAAUUGCAAUCUGGAAUUAGGAAAACUGCAGACGUGCCUUCCCCGUGCGUCUACACUCUACUGCAUUGCCCCAAAGUUUAAUUUUUUUAAAACUAACAAACCAUGCCCGUCAGUCGUAAGCGACACAGUGGGUUAAAUGAAGGAUUAAAAUGCUGCUGUAAAAAUUAUUCUCCCUCUUUCCAGGACCAAAUUACAAAAAACGUCCGCUUAUGAAAAUUGCUUCCUCUCAGCCCCAAACCAGGGCUCAAUCUCAAGUAGCUGCCUAGGCAAAGGGUCAACGGAAGCAAUCGAGGAGACGAUGCCAUGCUGGGAAAUGUAGUCUCGAAAAGUGUCACCAUCUUCCUUCCAUGGUGGGCGGCGGGAACUCCGGUGGAUCUGUUUUGCUUUGCGGAUGGAGCGAAAAGUCGAAACAACUCCUCCACUUAAACAACAUAUCUCUGGAAAAAAUUUAAAGGAUAUGUCAAGUACCCGGGUUGUUCUCUAGUUACCUGGUAAUUGGAGAUGCUUCCAUUGGAUCCUCUUGGGAUCAUGGAUGAUGAAGGCAUGGCUGGGCACCUGCUGAGGACCUGCACCCCAGCAGUGGCCCACUGAGCACAGGCCCCUGGAGUUGGUCCUCUUCUUCACUACUGCAACCUGCUUAUCCUCCUGCUUUUCACUCUGGGACAGGCUCUGGAGGUGGUGAGAUGGUGCAGCAGAUACCACUGCCUACUUCUCCUCUGCUUGGUGAGUGACUGGUAACAAGCAAAAGAAAGAGGAGAAGGAGAAGGCAGUGAGAAAAUAGGCUCACUGAAAAAAGGGGUAUUGUGCUUCCUCUGUCCGAUUGAAUUUAUAGAUCUGUUAUGUGGCAGUAAUGAACUGGAUCCAAAAGAACAAGAGUUCAAGAGUUGUGGGUGGGGCUUAUUGAAAGAUGGAAAGUCUGACUUUUUUGGAUGAUGCAUUUAAUGCUUUUUGUCCAUGCUCAUUACAUUAUUUGAUCUUCAUCUGCUUUUUCCUUCCUGAUCCUGCAAGGCAAAUAACAUUUAAGACACGUAACAGCUGGGUAGCUGUGUUAGUUUGUUGCAGCAAAAGAGA